rnacentral:rRNA from 1 species
GACGAACGCUGGCGGCGUGCUUAACACAUGCAAGUCGAACGGAAAGGCCCUGCUUUUGUGGGGUGCUCGAGUGGCGAACGGGUGAGUAACACGUGAGUAACCUGUCCUUGACUUUGGGAUAACUUCAGGAAACUGGGGCUAAUACCGGAUAGGAGCUCCUGCUGCAUGGUGGGGGUUGGAAAGUUUCGGCGGUUGGGGAUGGACUCGCGGCUUAUCAGCUUGUUGGUGGGGUAGUGGCUUACCAAGGCUUUGACGGGUAGCCGGCCUGAGAGGGUGACCGGCCACAUUGGGACUGAGAUACGGCCCAGACGCCUACGGGAGGCAGCAGUGGGGAAUAUUGCACAAUGGGCGGAAGCCUGAUGCAGCAACGCCGCGUGCGGGAUGACGGCCUUCGGGUUGUAAACCGCUUUCGCCUGUGACGAAGCGUGAGUGACGGUAAUGGGUAAAGAAGCACCGGCUAACUACGUG